GCGCUUAUUAACAAAAAAAAAAAACAUAAAAACCCAAAACAGACAUACGCUGCAGAAAGAAAAGGAGAACCGAGAAAGAGAACGAUAGAGAAAGAACUUCAAUCUGUCAUCGAUGGUGGAGAGAGAAAAAUCUGAGAAGAAAGUCAUGCUUAGCCACCAUCAGACCACCGUACCCUCCACCGGUAUGGUCUCUAUUUUUUUUGUACCGAAGGUCAGCGUACUUCCUUCCUCUUCAAAUACUGUUUUUGUAGUUUGAAAGAUUGAAACUCCUCACCAUGGCUUUUCCUAUUCGAAUUAGAAUCUUAAAUCUUUAAUAUUUCUAUGUUUUUUAAUUCAAAACCAGCAGUUCCCCUUAAUUUUCUAGGGUUCUUGAGAUACAGAGAGUUUGAGGGUUUGUAAGGCGCAGAGAGGGAUUGAGAGACAUCUCAGGGUGCCGCCGCCGGUGCCGCCGUUCAUCUGCAGCCACCGAAAAACUGGCUUUCCCUAACCGUCAUACCUCUGGAGCCAUUAUGGGUAAGGUUAUUUUAAAAAAUAAAAUACUGAAAAUAAAAUGGAAUGACAAAUUCUACUCAAAGAGAGAUUAUACCGCCCUAACGCCCCUAUCAGACGACCAAAACCACUAUACAUAAACUCCACAAGGUGCGAAUAGAGAGAUCAGAGGGUCACUAUUGGUAAAGUUUUCUCUUUCUUCGUUAGGUUUUGGCUUUGAGUAUUUUGGCCAGAUUGGUUUUAAUUCAGGUUUGAUUUUAGAUUUUGGUUUAUAUGUUAAGGUAUUUGGGUUAGAAUUGGUUUGGUUUUGCAUAUUUUUGUUAGAUACGUUGAUUUGAGUAUUUGGGUAAUCGAGGUUAGAAAGGAAUUAAAAUAAAUGUAUAGUGCAAAUACAACCAUCACUAUUAAAUUUCUUUGCAUUGUUUAAACAGAUCAUAUUUUUGAAAGUUAUUCCAUUUUUUUUUUCCAUUUAUAUAACAAAUUCAUUUCAAUAGAAACAGGAAAUUAGAUGUUGAUUUUUUUUUCCCCUUUUUUUCCUAUUCAAUUACGUUUCUAGGGUUCUUCUUCCCCCCCCCCCCCCCCUCCCCCCCUUUUUUUCCUAUUCACGCAGGGUAAGAUAGAGAGAGGCUGGAACCACUACUGGUGAGAUUUUAUCUUCGCUUUAAGUUUGUUUAUUAAUUAUGAGUAGGUUUUGAUAUUUUGUUUGGAUUGGUUUGGAUUUGUUUGGGUCCUUAUGUUAUAUUUGGUUCUCAUUAUGGUAUUUGAGUUAUAAGUGGUUCUGUUUUGAUUGUUUGGGUUAAACUGUGCUGUAGUACAUCCACCCUUUGCCCCAAUCAAACCGUACCUCCAUUGAUGUAGUCUCUAUUUUUUGUUUCUUUAACGUUUGCUAUUCGAAGAGAGUGUUGGUAAGGGCAUGUGAAAAAAGUUGGAAAGAGAGCAAUCUGACAUCUUGGGUCAGGCCGCCUAAAACCUUUAUAGGUACUAGAAAUAGCGUUAAUUGUGUUGAUGGCUCUAUAGUUAAAGACAUCGAAUGCUCUAAUUUAGCUGGUGUUACUCUUGAAAGGUCUUUUGAUGGUUCACAAGAUAAUGAAUCUUCUAAGUGCUUCAAAUGCUCUUUAUAGAAGGCAAUUCUUUCAUUCCUUUGGCUUAGAGUGUCUAUAAAGAUGUGCAUUGUUGUGGUUUCUAGCAACUCCAGUAUGUAAAGGAUCUUAAAACUUUCAGUAGUAUCAAGUUUUCAACAUAGUGGUUCACCAAGUAAUAUUGCUACAAUAAUUUGAUGCUUUUUAGCUAUUAAUUUUUAAAUUCUAAAGGA